UUUUCAUCAGACAAUCUGUGUGAGCACUGCAAAGUACGCUUCUUUAAGGUAAGGAGGUGAUCCAACCGCAGGUUCCCCUACGGUUACCUUGUUACGACUUCACCCCAGUCAUGAAUCACAAAGUGGUAAGCGCCCUCCCGAAGGUUAAGCUACCUACUUCUUUUGCAACCCACUCCCAUGGUGUGACGGGCGGUGUGUACAAGGCCCGGGAACGUAUUCACCGUGGCAUUCUGAUCCACGAUUACUAGCGAUUCCGACUUCAUGGAGUCGAGUUGCAGACUCCAAUCCGGACUACGACGCACUUUAUGAGGUCCGCUUGCUCUCGCGAGGUCGCUUCUCUUUGUAUGCGCCAUUGUAGCACGUGUGUAGCCCUGGUCGUAAGGGCCAUGAUGACUUGACGUCAUCCCCACCUUCCUCCAGUUUAUCACUGGCAGUCUCCUUUGAGUUCCCGGCCGGACCGCUGGCAACAAAGGAUAAGGGUUGCGCUCGUUGCGGGACUUAACCCAACAUUUCACAACACGAGCUGACGACAGCCAUGCAGCACCUGUCUCACGGUUCCCGAAGGCACAUUCUCAUCUCUGAAAACUUCCGUGGAUGUCAAGACCAGGUAAGGUUCUUCGCGUUGCAUCGAAUUAAACCACAUGCUCCACCGCUUGUGCGGGCCCCCGUCAAUUCAUUUGAGUUUUAACCUUGCGGCCGUACUCCCCAGGCGGUCUACUUAACGCGUUAGCUCCGGAAGCCACGCCUCAAGGGCACAACCUCCAAGUAGACAUCGUUUACGGCGUGGACUACCAGGGUAUCUAAUCCUGUUUGCUCCCCACGCUUUCGCACCUGAGCGUCAGUCUUUGUCCAGGGGGCCGCCUUCGCCACCGGUAUUCCUCCAGAUCUCUACGCAUUUCACCGCUACACCUGGAAUUCNNNNNNNNNNNNNNNNNNNNCUCAAGCCUGCCAGUUUCGAAUGCAGUUCCCAGGUUGAGCCCGGGGAUUUCACAUCCGACUUGACAGACCGCCUGCGUGCGCUUUACGCCCAGUAAUUCCGAUUAACGCUUGCACCCUCCGUAUUACCGCGGCUGCUGGCACGGAGUUAGCCGGUGCUUCUUCUGCGGGUAACGUCAAUUGCUGCGGUUAUUAACCACAACACCUUCCUCCCCGCUGAAAGUACUUUACAACCCGAAGGCCUUCUUCAUACACGCGGCAUGGCUGCAUCAGGCUUGCGCCCAUUGUGCAAUAUUCCCCACUGCUGCCUCCCGUAGGAGUCUGGACCGUGUCUCAGUUCCAGUGUGGCUGGUCAUCCUCUCAGACCAGCUAGGGAUCGUCGCCUUGGUGAGCCGUUACCUCACCAACAAGCUAAUCCCAUCUGGGCACAUCUGAUGGCAAGAGGCCCGAAGGUCCCCCUCUUUGGUCUUGCGACGUUAUGCGGUAUUAGCCACCGUUUCCAGUAGUUAUCCCCCUCCAUCAGGCAGUUUCCCAGACAUUACUCACCCGUCCGCCACUCGUCAGCAAAGCAGCAAGCUGCUUCCUGUUACCGUUCGACUUGCAUGUGUUAGGCCUGCCGCCAGCGUUCAAUCUGAGCCAUGAUCAAACUCUUCAAUUUAAAAGUUUGAUGCUCAAUGAAUUAAACUUCGUAAUGAAUUACGUGUUCACUCUUGAGACUUGGUAUUCAUUUUUCGU
rnacentral:rRNA from 1 species